rnacentral:snoRNA from 1 species
AAGACUGUAUUUUCAAGGAUCAUUUCUACACUUUGUUACUAGAGAAGUUUCUAUGAUCGUGUGGAGUACCAGAAACCAUAAGGAGGCUACAUAAUGCUCUCACCUGAGGUUGAAACCAGCUCUUGGUGCUGCUGUGUUGUAGCUGCCAUUUGCCAUUGAUGACCAUUCUUCUUCUCCUUUGGAGGAGCAAAAGGGUGAGGAUGUUGUCUGAGUAGU